CAGAUUAAGCUUAAUAGUUAAGAAUUUCAUUUACACUGAAAUGUAAAUUGUGCAAAUCAAUAUAAUCUGA
rnacentral:tRNA from 1 species